rnacentral:rRNA from 1 species
AGUGAACGCUGGCGGUAGGCCUAACACAUGCAAGUCGAACGGCAGCACAGUAAAAGCUUGCUCUAACGGGUGGGAAGGGGGGGAGGGGGGGGGAAAAAUCGGGAAUAAACUUUUACGGGGGGGAUAAGGUAGGGAAAUUAAGGCAAAACCGGAAUAGAACCACCGGGGAAAAGAAGGGAUUCUUGGAACUUUGGGGAAUGGAAGAAGCCAAUGUCGGAUUAGCUAGUUGGCGGGGUAAAGGCCCACAAAGGCGACGAUCCUUAGCUGGUCUGAAAGGAUGAUCAGCCACACUGGAACUGAGACACGGUCCAGACUCCUACGGGAGGCAGCAGUGGGGAAUAUUGGACAAUGGGCGCAAGCCUGAUCCAGCCAUACCGCGUGGGUGAAGAAGGCCUUCGGGUUGUAAAGCCCUUUUGUUGGGAAAGAAAAGCAGCAGGUUAAUACCCCGCUGUUCUGACGGUACCCAAAGAAUAAGCACCGGCUAACUUCGUG